GGAUUUCAUUGUCACUCAGGCUGGAAUCUAGUGGUGAUAUGGUUUGGCUGUGUCCCCACCCAAAUCUCAUCUUGAAUUGUAGCUCCCAUAAUUCCUCUGUGUGGUGGGAGGGACCCAGUGGGAGAUAACUGAAUGAUGGGGGAAGUUUCCCCCAUACUGUUCUCGUUGUAGUAAAUAAGUCUUACAAGAUCUCAUGGUUCUAUAAGGGGAAACCCCUUUUGCUUGACUCUCAUUCUCUCUUGUCUGCCACCAUGUAAGAUGUACCUUUUGCCAUGAUUGUGAGGCCUCCCCAGCCAUGUGGAACUGUGAGUCUAUUAAACCUCUUUUUCUUUACAAAUUACCCAGUCUCAGAGACAGGGUUCCACUAUGCUGCUCAAGCUGGUUUUGAACUCCUGGGCUCAAGUUGUCCGCCCACCUCAGCCUCCCAAAGUGUUAGGAUUACAGGCCUGAGCCACAGCACCUGACUCUAACAAUUAUUUAACAUAUGAAUUUAACAUGUCAUUUACAGCUCAUAACUAAUGAGUGACUUAUUUAUUAAAUAUAGAAAAAACUUCUACAAAUCAUUUACAAAAAUGUGCAUAUAUACACACAACCCGAUAGAAAAAAUGGGCUUGAGUAGGCACCUCAAACAAGAGCACAUCUACUAGGUCAGUGAAAAUAUCAGUAUGUGCUCAUCUCAUUAUUAACCAGGUUAAAAAAAUAAAACCACAGUGUGGUUUGACUGUAUAGCUACCAGAAUGGUCAAAAUUAAAAUGACAAAUUUGAUAUCAUUUAUCAAAUGUUGGCGAAAGAAUAAAGCAAUUGUAUCCCUUGUAUGCUGUUGGUGGGAAUGGAAACUCCAGCCAUCCCUUUGGCAAAUCAUCAGUGUUCUCUAAAGCUGAACAUGUGCAUUUUCUGUGACGAGGUGACUGUGACCUAGUUUUUCCUGGACAGUUUUGAUUUAGGCAUACUUUCUCAAAAUGCUGUUCAGUUCAGUAUUUGUCCUGGACUUCUUCAUUUUUAAAUAAAAUUUUGUCAUUAAUGGUUGCAUUAAAAUAAUCCAGGAUAGGUUUGGUGGACUUCGACUUGAUUCUUCUAACUUUAACCCAUGAUCUUGUGUAGUAGCAUGGAACACACAUGCAGUUUACAUAGAGUUGGUACUUAAUACAUUUUUUUCUCUUAAAGGCAAUCAGGGAUAACAUUCCUUUCUUUCCCUAUCUCUCUGCCGAUGCCGCAUAACUAAAAUUUCCCUUUGAUGAAUAGCAUGAAGAGUGCUCACUGACAAAAAAAAAAAAGUCAAAAAAAAAAAAAAAAAACGAAAAAAGUGUAGGAAUAAUUUUCUUCUUCCAGUCUUGAAUUAUAGUGAAAGAAGUUCUCGAAAUGCUGCCCCUGCUGGCCAUUUGAUAUAACAACAGCCAACUGUGCCAUAGCCCUUAGGUGUUAGCCUGAAAGAAGCUGGAAGUCAUUAAACUGCCAGUUGGCAUAGACAGUAGGAAAGUUGAGAAACUAGAGGUUAGUGUACUUGAAAUAGCAGAAAGUAGAGGCUGAGCCGUCUCGUUAAAGAAUAAAUGAAUAGUAGUCAAAAUGAUUUUGCUACGGUGACUGUUAUGUAUUACAUGAUGUAAAUCUACAACUGUGCAUUUAUUUGUCAUUAUUUGGUAAUACUUUUUUAUUUCACAAUAAAUUCUCUUGGGAGCAAUGAGCUCAAAUGAGUGGAAAUGCAUAUUUAAUAAAAAAUAAAGUACUAUGUUUCAGUUUCUGAAGGAAGUUGAUGACGAAUGUAUUAUAGUGAGUCCUGAAAUAAGGUCAUUUUUUUCAACAUCAUUGUAACAUUGAUGAGGAAAAAAAAAAUGGACUCCCAACUGGGGCCAUUGUCUGUGUAGAGUUUGCAUGUUAUCCCCAUGUUUGUGUGGGUUUUCUCUAGAUAUUCUGAUUUCCUCCCACAUCCCAAUGACCCCAAGAUGUGCACAUUGGGGUCACUGAUUUGUUUAUAUGGUCCCAGUCUGAGUGAGUGUAGGUACGUGUUUGAGUGUGCCCUGAGACAGGAUGUCAUCUUGCCCAGCAAUGGUUUCCACCUUGCAUCCUGAAAUGCUGGGAGAAGGUCUUACCACCUGUGACCCUAACCUGGAAUACUGGAGUAAAUAAUCAUCCUGCUUGGUUUUAUUAACCUUUCUCAAAUGUAUGUAUAGCUCACACUUAUUUCAAUGUUUAAUAUUAGCAUUUUGGGGUCUUUAUUUAGAAGUUUGGUGAUGUUUUUAUAACCAGAAAUAUGUCAUAGGAAGUUAACUCUUGUUCAUAUCAAUUAGCCUAUGGUCAAGCUGGUUUCAUUCUAUGUUGUUUUGAUUAAAGUUGCUUUAUCCAAGAACUAUUGAUGAUGUUAAGUGAUGAUUUACUGUGUUUUCAAAAAAUAUUUGUUGACUUCAACUAUCCAUCACAGGGCAUCACUGAUCACAGUGGUAUCACUGAUCAC
rnacentral:lncRNA from 1 species